CAUUGUGAGAGGUCAAUGGAAAGGAGAGAUCAGAUCAAAUAAGACAUUGUGAGAGGUCAAUGGAAAGGAGAGAUCAGAUCAAAUAAGACAUUGUGAGAGGUCAAUGGAAAGGAGAGAUCAGAUCAAAUAAGACAUUGUGAGAGGUCAAUGGAAAGGAGAGAUCAGAUCAAAUAAGACAUUGUGAGAGGUCAAUGGAAAGGAGAGAUCAGAUCAAAUAAGACAUUGUGAGAGGUCAAUGGAAAGGAGAGAUCAGAUCAAAUAAGACAUUGUGAGAGGUCAAUGGAAAGGAGAGAUCAGAUCAAAUAAGACAUUGUGAGAGGUCAAUGGAAAGGAGAGAUCAGAUCAAAUAAGACAUUGUGAGAGGUCAAUGGAAAGGAGAGAUCAGAUCAAAUAAGACAUUGUGAGAGGUCAAUGGAAAGGAGAGAUCAGAUCAAAUAAGACAUUGUGAGAGGUCAAUGGAAAGGAGAGAUCAGAUCAAAUAAGACAUUGUGAGAGGUCAAUGGAAACACCACACGUUCAAGAGAUGGCCAGGAGUCCUGCAGAACAUCAGCAUAGUGGAGCGAAGUGCAGCCUUCAUCUUCAAGCUAUGAUAUAGCAAAGGCUAUGGUGUGAUGAGAAGGGCUACCAUCUAGUCUCUGUGGGUGUAGUUUUAGCAUCAUGCUGCCUGGACUACACUAAAUAUGCAAGGGAUUACAUUUUUGAUUGUGUUAAAUCAAAUUGUUUGUCACAUGUGCAAUACAACAGAUGUAGACUUUACUGUGAAAUGCUUACUUACCAGCCUUUCACUAACAAUGCAGAGUUUUUAAAAAGUAAGAAAAAUUAGCUAAAUAAACUAAAGAAAAUAGUAACACGAAUCUCCUAAUGUUAUUGACUGUCU